AUGAGUGGUGUUCGGUCUCAGGCGCUGGUGGAGUCUGGAGGGGAUGUGAAAAAGCCCGGAGACUCUCUCCGCCUCUCCUGCAAAGCCUCCGGGUUCACCUUCAGCAGCUACUACAUGAGCUGGGUCCGACAGGCUUCUGGGAAGGGACUAGAAUGGGUCGCUGCUAUAUACCCCGGUGGAGGUAGUACAUACUACCUUGAUUCCGUCAAAGGGCGAUUCACCAUCUCCAGGGAUAAUUCCAAGAGUGAGCUGUAUCUGGAAAUGACCGGCCUGAAGCCCGAGGACACCGCCCGCUAUUACUUGGGCCGGUCACAGGUUGUUCUGACCCAGUCAGGUCAAGAACUGAAGAAGCCCGGAGAAUCCACUCGGCUGAAAUGCGCCAUGAGCGGGUUCACUGUCUCCGACUAUUAUAUGGUUUGGGUCAGACAGGAGCCUUGA